ACGUUUCUCUGUGAGCUAUUUUGCAGCUGCGAGUUAAUUCCUACAACACGUGGCGUCCUGUCAAUCUGUCACGCGGUGGUGGCUGGUGGACGAGGCGAGUGGACGGCCGCAGGUUUUGCUGUGUGGAGAUGAAAACUAUUGGACAGGUGAGCUGAGCUGCUGAAUGGCAGAGUUGUGGCAGCAGCCAGCCAGUAAGGAGGUGACUGCUGGCUCAGCUCUUCAAUGUCGGUAAGUACCUUGCAUGCCUCGUCGAGGGACAGCUCCGUGGGACCUCAGCAGCGACACCUCCACAUGGUGUCAAGGUAAAGAAAGAGGACAUUGUUUGUUUGUUUAGGAGGUAGGCACUGCUAGGAUCCUAACCUUUGGCUUGCCUUUCAGGUGCACUAAUGUUUCCAGCAUUGAUUUUUUACUUCAACAGAUGUUUCAUGCAUCAGAAAUUCCAUGUUAUGUCCAUGACAGCAGCAGGAGCUUCUGUAAGGAAACUCACUUUAAAGUAGCUUAUAAGAUGUUUGGUGGGAUGAUUGUUCCAAGGCAGCAGCCUCUUCACAAGAAAACAAGACUGCUUCAAUGCAGUUGGAAAGUGUGAUUUUUGGGUAAGUGCCCAGUAUGUAAAGUUUUGGGAAAGAACUGUAGCUACUCUAUAUUAUGGAUUUUCUGCACUUAGCUUAUGAAAAGUUGAUAAAAACAUAAUUAAUAGAAUAUCAAGAAUCAAACAAAUGCUACAUUGUCUUACCAGUCAUAAUGUUUUAUGUUGUUGUCUCAUGUUUAUGAAAAUAUAAAUUUUAUCAGAGAUAUCCAUGAUGAGUUGCUGUGUAUUAUAUCAGUUCCUAUGAGACUGUUAGUUAUACUGGAAAAGUUUUCAGACAAAUCCUGCCAUACCAAGUGAUCCUGGUAUUCAAAGUGUAUGGGGAAAAGAACAAAGCUGUGCACUGCAUCUUGAAAGAGGAAAUGAAAAGUUUGUAACUUUUGUGUUUAGGUACCUAAUUCAGGCUCUUGUCUUUGUUGCUUGUAUAUCCUUAUUUUCUGUGUUAUAAUGCAAAAUAUGAUACAAAUAAUAACCAGUGUUAAAAAUAGCCAGUUUUAACAGAACUUGGCCUUUGAAAUUCCAAAACUUGGCUUCUUAGCAAUGCCUAGAUUAGUGAAGUUGCUUUAAUAACUCAGAUGACUAAAUUUGAGCCAGAUAACACAUUUCAGAGCAUAAGAGUCUGAUUUCCUGUCCUCCCAUAGCCUGGAAUGCUAAGAACUGAACAACAUGAAUGACUGAGUAGCCUGCUGUCCUGUUCUCCAUCUUGGAAUGUUAAUAAUUCAAGUGAACAAAGAACAGAGUACUCUUUAAGUCCUGCCCUCCUUCAUCUUGGAAUGCUAACAUAGAUCUGCACAACAAUGAAGAGAACUCUCUGGAUUGAUGGUAGGUAUUUCUGGUAUCUAAUACAGGUACAUAAAUCUUUAUUUGCCUUUCAGAAUCCCUUGCAUACUUAACUUCAAUGUGAUAGUAUGCCAUAAGUAAUGGAUAGUUCAUUGGUAGAGGUCUUGCCUCCGUUUUUACUUUUCUUUUCAGCAUUAUGAUCACAAGUUAGUUGGGGUCAUGUGCGUGGGCCUCAUCUGCUGUGAUCCGUUUUGCACUCAUAUUUUUCCUUGAAUCUUUCUUCCAUUUUUAUUUAUUUAUUUAUUAUUAUUAUUUUUUUUUUUAGCUUCUGCUUAUAUCACUGGUAACCUGUCUUGAGGGGGCCCAUUAGUGGUGCAGCCGAAUUUUAUUUCUAGUGGCUGUCAUGAUGUAUGACUUGCUUGGCCCAUGCUGCCCCCUGGUGCUCCACUUGAACGAAGUUGCUUAAGUUAGGGUUGAUUGAAGAUCUGGGCAGCAUGUGCGUAAUCUUUUGCCACUCAGUGAUGGCUUGAAAAAUCAGCGUCUUUUGGUGGGACUUAAACCUAGGUCCACGGGCUCACCAUGCUUGCAUGCUGACCACUCGGCCACCGCCUCCCUACACCCCACCGCAUAAAUGGACCUUAUGUGGCCCAUCUAACAUCAAAUCAUAAAACUGAAAAUAACAACUCCUCCAUAACUAAAUUUAAAGAUAAUCUAAAGGUCCUUAGGAUUAAUACUCAUAGCUUAAGUAAUAAGAUUGAAGACUUGGUGUCUUGCUUCAACAGAAAAUUUUGAUAGAAUCGCUAUAACAGAAAUAUUCAUUGACACCUCAAAUACUUAUAUAAUUCCAGAAAACAAUGUACUGGAGAUGAUGACAGUCUCUUCAACAAAGAUUGCAUCAACCAUAGAGGUGGAGGUGUUGCCCUUUAUGCCAACAGCUACUUGCAUCCCACUGAUAGAUCACCAAGAGACACCAAUGCUGAACAUUUGCGUGUGCGAGUAAAUAGUGUAAAAAAUUAACUCAUCUCACUUACAGGGCUCCUUGUCAAUCACUCUGUGAUAUUGAAAUGUUUAGCGUUUUAUGAGUCAGGUCAUGACAGCGACUCACUGAUAUUAGGAGACUUUAAUCUCCCUCAUAUUCCACUGGGAGUCACUGUCAGGCACUGAAGGUGAGUCACAUAGAAUGCUUGAAUUUUGAGAGGAUAAUUACCCAAGUCAACUGGUCACUGAACCAACUCGACUAAAUAACAUGUUGUCCUCCAUGUAUGAGAGCAAACAGAGUAACGCUGAGGUUACAUUACCCAAAAAUGACUUCAUUUGCUUUCCGAUCAUCUGAGGUUGAAAAGCUUCUAAAUAAUUUAGAUACAUAUGGAGGUACUGAUCCUCUUGGCUUUUUUCCACUAUUUUUCAAAACUAUUAGUAAUCUCCUAGCUACCAAACUGUCCAUCAUUUUCAGAAUUCUAAUUCGGCAAGGUCGCUUUCCUAUCUGUUGGUGUAUUGCUAAUGUUACUCCUAUCAUGAAGAAAUCUGCUUCAGUUUUACCAGAAGAAUACAGACCCAUCUCUCUUACUCCUAUUGUCAAAAGUAUUUGAGCGUUUGUUGGGGAAACGACUCACUAAAUAUUUCAUUAACUUUAAUCUUCAACCACCUAACCAGUUUGGUUUUAUGAUGGCUUAGGAACCUGUGAUGCUCUUUUGGUGUUGAUACAUGACCUUCAAUCUUCUCUCGAUUGUGGAACGAGUCUCGGCUUAUAUCUUUGGAUUUUAGUUCAGCCUUUGAUAUGGUGAAUCACAAGGCAUUGUUGUUUAAACUGGAAAAUUCUGGUGUAGGAGGGCAUGUCCUAGAUGUGAUCUCUGAGUUUUUAACAUUAAGGACAUUGAUAUAGGACUUAACCCUUUCCUUGGACGCGGUGCGGAUGCGACUGUCCCCUCAGGCGCAGUAGGGCAGCCCAAUGGGGGGUCUCUUAUAACCUCUGUAUCUCAAAAACUAUUCAUCACAGCUAAACACCAAAAACACCACUGGAAAGAGGAGGUCCAGAUCUAUAGGGGUCGGUUAUGUAUGCCUCUCUUGCAAAUGUACAUGCACAUUCAGGGAGUGUUGAAUGUUAACACUUAUGUCAGUGCGUGCGGGAUGAUAAGCCAUAUUGAGGUAACUGCAGACAUCUCUCCUUCAGACUCUGGCAAGGGAGUAUUGCCAACUGCAAUAUUUACAGCUAUUUGGUCAAAGAAUCAGGCAGGUGAUAGGUGAAGCUAUGCAAAAAUGCCACUAUAUUGGGCAAGAACAUCCACCAGUUACUUGUCCGUAGAUUUGCCGCGCUGGGCUGAUAUGAUUUUCCACCAAAUUUAGUGAAGAACCCACUCAAUUGGCAAUCCUGUGUUGUGAGAAUUAGUGUUGGAACACUCUCAAACGCGGGAGAUUUGAGUGCGGGUGGAGCUCGCAGCGAGCGUUUAGCGCCACCAGCAAAUACGCUUAAUGCUCGCUGCGAGCGUUUAGCAAUGAAAGGGUUUAUAGUCUCAUUAGUAAAUUUGCUGAUGCCACAAAGAUAGGUAAUUGGGUCCUCUCUGACGAAGACAGACAAAGCCUACAAGAAGAUUUGUAUAGAAUUUCAGCUUGGUCUGAUUAAUGGAAUAUAUAUGAUAUAAACAAGUGCCAUCUUCAAAUUGGCAAAAAAAUAAGAGGUUCGAUUAUGAAAUGUAUGCACUAAACUCCAAAGCGUUCAGUAUGUCAAGGACAUUGGUGUCAAAUUCGGGUCAACCCUCAAAUUCUCACAGCAAAGCAUUGAUACAAUUAAGAAAGUGAACAGAAUGCUGGGCUUCAUUAACCCGUUGAGCCCCACCAAUAAUACAUAAUGAUCCACCAAUUUUUUUUAUAUAUUUUUUCUAGGAAAUCCAAUGGAAUCAUGAAGUUAUAACAACAAAAGCACAUAAAAUCACUCACCAUAGCCACAGAACACGCAGAACAUAUCUACUGAGGGGGGGUACAUCUUGCGUUGUUUUUUGUAUACAUAAACAUUCAAAUAUAUUAUUGAAAAAUAACCUUGAAUGUCUAUCACAAUUAUUGAUUUUCACAUAUUCAUGAACUAAAAAUGCGCAGGUGCCACAUCCAUCAAAAUUCCCACUUUGUUGGUGGACAGAUGAAAUGAAACUGAUUAUACUAUAGCUGGUUCACCCAAGUCUGAAGUGUUCAUUAUCGCGCAACGGCAACCUGCAGCCACACGGUGUGUAUGAUUUUGUGGAUACUGUAUGCUAGGCUGCUAGCCUACGAAGCAAUAGUAAACAGUCAUCAGUGUCAAUAAUAUGCAGGCAGCAAUAACAAAUACUGUCAAUUGUAGUCGAUUAUGAGUAAAAAAUAUUAGUAAUGUCGCAAAUAGCUGUUUUGUUAAUAUAAAGCCUGCUAAUUUUUCUCGGUGGUGGACAGCUUCAAGACUGCUUAAUAAUCACAAUCAGCGAUCUCGUAAAUUAACAAAACAGCUAUUAGCGACAUUACUAAUAUUUUUUAACUCAUAAUUGACUUUAAUAUUGAUGGUAUUUGUUAUUGCUGCUUGCAUAUUAUUGACACUGACGACCGUUUACUAUGCAUAGGCUAGCAUACAUUAUCCACGAAAUUGAACACGCUGUGUGGCUGCAGGUUGCCGUUGCUCGAUAAUGCAAGCUUCAGACUCGGGUGAAUCAACCAUAUAUAUAUACAUACAUAUACAGGUAACUCGAUUUACGUGAGUUUGGUUUACGCGUUUUUGAAAUAACGCGGGGUCAAAACCCAAAUAAAUGUUUAAUUUACACGUUUUUUCACUUAUACACGAUAUUUUAUGGAGUGGCCACCAGAUGUCUCACGCAACAGGACUCACAUGUUGCCGCGGCCACGCAACUGAGCUCAGUUCUUCCCGCGCGCUACUUGAACAACAAUACAGUACCCACGCUGCCACGCUACUCUACAAUAGGGGUGGGCAGGUACCGGUACCAGUACCGGUAUUAAUGGUACCAGCUAUACAUUACGGUACUGGUACCAGACUGCUCGGUACCGGUACCAAUACUAGCCAGUCGCUCAUGGUGUCCCUUAUUUCUUCCUCACACGAGUGAGGCUGAGAUAGUGCCUGAAUGGAUAUCUCUCUCUCUCUCUCUCCACUGAAUGAAGUGAAUAUUUAUUUUUCGAUAGAAACCUACCUCUUGUUUGAUUUACAUUGUUUUUGAUUUACGCGACCUCUUCAAGGGCACAAUACUUGCGUAAAUCAA